CACGUAGGGUGCGAGCGUUGUCCGGAAUUAUUGGGCGUAAAGAGCUCGUAGGUGGCUUGUUGCGUCUGCCGUGAAAGCCCGUGGCUUAACUACGGGUCUGCGGUGGAUACGGGCAGGCUAGAGGCUGGUAGGGGCAAGCGGAAUUCCUGGUGUAGCGGUGAAAUGCGCAGAUAUCUGGAGGAACACCGGUGGCGAAGGCGGCAUCCUGGACCGGUAUUGACGCUGAGGCGCGAAAGCUAGGGGAGCAAACGGG
rnacentral:rRNA from 1 species